UACGGGGGGAGCAAGCGUUGUUCGGAUUUAUUGGGCGUAAAGGGCGCGUAGGCGGCCACGCACGUCCGUUGUGAAAUCGCCCGGCUCAACUGGGCGGGGUCAGCGGAUACGGUGUGGCUCGAGCAAGCUAGGGGGCAAUGGGAAUUCCCGGUGUAGUGGUGGAAUGCGUAGAUAUCGGGAGGAACACCAGUGGCGAAGGCGGUUGCCUGGAGCUUUGCUGACGCUGAGGCGCGAAAGCGUGGGGAGCGAGUCCGG
rnacentral:rRNA from 1 species